UACGUAGGUGACCAGCGUUGUUCGGAUUUACUGGGCGUAAAGCGCACGUAGGCGGUUUGUUAAGUCAGGGGUGAAAUCCCGGAGCUCAACUCCGGAACUGCCUUUGAUACUGGCAAGCUAGAGUCCGGAAGAGGUAAGUGGAACUCCUAGUGUAGAGGUGGAAUUCGUAGAUAUUAGGAAGAACACCAGUGGCGAAGGCGGCUUACUGGUCCGGAACUGACGCUGAGGUGCGAAAGCGUGGGGAGCAAACAAG
rnacentral:rRNA from 1 species